AUUGAACGCUGGCGGCAGGCCUAACACAUGCAAGUCGAGCGGAUGAAGGGAGCUUGCUCCUGGAUUCAGCGGCGGACGGGUGAGUGAUGCCUAGGAAUCUGCCUGGUAUUGGGGGAUAACGUCCGGAAACGGGCGCUAAUACCGCAUACGUCCUGAGGGUGAAAGUGGGGGAUCUUCGGACCUCACGCUAUCAGAUGAGCCUAGGUCGGAGUAGCUAGUUGGUGGGGUAAAGGCCUACCAAGGCGACGAUCCGUAACUGGUCUGAGAGGAUGAUCAGUCACACUGGAACUGAGACACGGUCCAGACUCCUACGGGAGGCAGCAGUGGGGAAUAUUGGGCAAUGGGCGAAAGCCUGACCCAGCCAUGCCGCGUGUGUGAAGAAGGUCUUCGGAUUGUAAAGCACUUUAAGUUGGGAGGAACGGCAGUAAGUUAAUACCUUGCUGUUUUGACGGUACCAACAGAAUAAGCACCGGCUAACUACGUG
rnacentral:rRNA from 1 species